rnacentral:lncRNA from 1 species
AAGACAGCCAGCCAGGCGAGCAGCUGCUCCAGCCAGCAUUAGCCACCAGCAGACCAGCAGCUCCGACUGGCGACCAGCAGCGCCAGUAGCAGCCACAACCAGCGGAUAGAGGCUCAGCGCCAGCGUCCCUCUCCUCUUUUCCGGUGAGAACUCGAGGCCACCAGCAACGCCGACGACAAGCAACCAGCAGCGACAUCAAUCUCCGGUGAAGAUAAAUUUAGACAGAUCUAUUCAGAUCUGUCCGGGUACAUUUCUUUAAAAUUAUUGUCUCAUCUUUUANNNNN